GUGAAUCAUCGAAUUUUUGAACGCAAAUUGCACUCUCCUCGGAGGGUAUGCGUGUUUGAGGGUCAGCCUAUAAAAAAUCGACAUCGUUGCUGUUUCGUGGUGGUGUUCGUCGGAAAUUGGGUCAUCUUAAAUCUUUUGGUUUUAAGAGACUUAAAAUUUUCUUUUUGGUUCCAUGAACGUUUCUAAGAUUUAUUUUUUUACACGUUUAAGGUAUCGAUUUUUAUUAGAUGUGACCAUAAUAUCUGGUGUAGCCUAUAAUUUUUCAUUAACU
rnacentral:misc_RNA from 1 species